CCAAUAGCGUAUAUUAAAGUUGUUGCAGUUAAAAAGCUCGUAGUUGAAUUUCGGGAUUAGUACGUUGGUCGUGCCUUAGGUACGUACUGGUGUUACUGGUUCCUACCUUCUGACGAACCAUCAUGUCAUUAAUUUGGUGUGGCGGGGAAUCAGGACUGUUACUUUGAAAAAAUUAGAGUGUUUAAAGCAGGCUCGCGCUUGAAAAAAUUAGCAUGGAAGAAUGACAUAGGACGUUGACCCUAUUUUGUUGGUUUCUAGGAUUGACGUAAUGAUUAAUAGGGAUAGUUGGGGGCAUUAGUAUUCAAUUGUCAGAGGUGAAAUUCUUGGAUUUAUUGAAGACUAACUACUGCGAAAGCAUUUGCCAAGGAUGUUUUCAUUAAUCAAGAACGAAAGUUAGGGGAUCGAAGACGAUCAGAUACCGUCGUAGCCUUAACCAUAAACUAUGCCGACUAGGGAUCGGAUGAUGUUAAUUUUUUAAUGACUCAUUCGGCGCCUUACG
rnacentral:rRNA from 1 species